rnacentral:lncRNA from 1 species
UCAUCACUUAGUCGACUGCUUGCAAGUGCACUUGUUGAUACUAACUACAUAUGAUUGAUCGUUGUGUGUGUUAUUUGCAUGUCUUAUGUUUCUUUUUUAAAAGUCCCUUUUACUGGAAUAUCCUUUAAGUUAUCACUUAGUCGACUACUUUCAAGUGCACUUGUUUAGGGCUACAUAUGAAUUGAUUGAUGAUACUAACUGCAUAUGCUAUACUUGACCGUCGUGUGUGUGAUAGGUUUCCCUACCAAUCUUUGGUAUCUCUUGAUCAGUAACAAUAUCUUUACAAGCUUAUCCUAAUUUGUUAUUUGGAUCAACUGGUGUAUCUAUGAAUUGCAUGCCAAUUUUACCAUUUCCUUCAACAGAUUCGACCACAUACCUCUAGUGCAAAAUAAAAUGGCCCUUCCUCAAUUCCUAGGAAUUACUUCAAUCUUCCCAAUUCUUUGAUCUCAAAUCUGACAGUAAAUUUUAUCAACUCAUCUUGAGUGUUAUAGAUUUCUUUAACUCUAUUUGUACCCGUUAGUUAGCAAUACCUUCGUAAAUCUAUGAAAUUAGGCUCUUGGUGACUGUUUAAGACCAUACAAUAUGAAAUAACGAAGUUCGACCCAACUAACGCCUAUAUGGGGAAUGAAUAGGUUUAAUUAACAACCAAUAAUUGCUACAAGUCACUAAUUAUUGAAUCUAAAUGAAUAUUAUUGAAGUUGGAAAAUUACUUGAAAAAUUCUUCAAAAGGAAAAAUCUCUAGGCAAACUUGCUAGUAAAUAAUCCAUUAGAAUUGGUCGAGAUACAACUAAACCCAAAACCUUCAACCUGUAAUCACCGAAGAACUCAUCGAUUGUGUGUUCAAUAUGAUUCUUAGCAAACCAUCAAGCAAUAAUGUUAAAGAUGAAAAACCGCUUAGAGAACACUUCAAGAGGAAAAACCGAUCAGCAAAGUUGCUAGUUAAUUAUCCACUAGAAAAAAAAAUUACGGGAUUGGUCAAGACACAACUGUACCUUGGUAGACUUUGACCCUCAACAUAUAAUCAUCGAAGAACUCAUCAAUUGUGAAUUCAAGCACUAGCUCCAACCUUUGAAUUCUUUUCUUCUCAUGAGAACUAACUCGUUUUUCACAAACUAAUAUUUCAGUGAUCUUUAGAACUCUGAAAGAUAUUUGAAAGAGAUUUAUUUUAUGUUUUGAUAUUUGAAAAUUUUGAUGAUUUGAUCUUGUGGUUGAAGUUAGAGAAUUUUUGGAUAGAGUAAUUGAUCUUCAAAACUUUGUUUUCUUGAAUGAAAAUAGGCUCAACACACUAUAGAGUCGAAAUUUGGCUUGUGUAUUUAUAUAAAGUUUUU